rnacentral:rRNA from 1 species
AAAUUGAAGAGUUUGAUCAUGGCUCAGAUUGAACGCUGGCGGCAGGCCUAACACAUGCAAGUCGAGCGGUAGCACAGAGAGCUUGCUCUCGGGUGACGAGCGGCGGACGGGUGAGUAAUGUCUGGGAAACUGCCUGAUGGAGGGGGAUAACUACUGGAAACGGUAGCUAAUACCGCAUAAUGUCGCAAGACCAAAGUGGGGGACCUUCGGGCCUCAUGCCAUCAGAUGUGCCCAGAUGGGAUUAGCUAGUAGGUGGGGUAACGGCUCACCUAGGCGACGAUCCCUAGCUGGUCUGAGAGGAUGACCAGCCACACUGGAACUGAGACACGGUCCAGACUCCUACGGGAGGCAGCAGUGGGGAAUAUUGCACAAUGGGCGCAAGCCUGAUGCAGCCAUGCCGCGUGUGUGAAGAAGGCCUUCGGGUUGUAAAGCACUUUCAGCGGGGAGGAAGGCGGUGAGGUUAAUAACCUCACCGAUUGACGUUACCCGCAGAAGAAGCACCGGCUAACUCCGUGCCAGCAGCCGCGGUAAUACGGAGGGUGCAAGCGUUAAUCGGAAUUACUGGGCGUAAAGCGCACGCAGGCGGUCUGUCAAGUCGGAUGUGAAAUCCCCGGGCUCAACCUGGGAACUGCAUUCGAAACUGGCAGGCUAGAGUCUUGUAGAGGGGGGUAGAAUUCCAGGUGUAGCGGUGAAAUGCGUAGAGAUCUGGAGGAAUACCGGUGGCGAAGGCGGCCCCCUGGACAAAGACUGACGCUCAGGUGCGAAAGCGUGGGGAGCAAACAGGAUUAGAUACCCUGGUAGUCCACGCCGUAAACGAUGUCGAUUUGGAGGUUGUGCCCUUGAGGCGUGGCUUCCGGAGCUAACGCGUUAAAUCGACCGCCUGGGGAGUACGGCCGCAAGGUUAAAACUCAAAUGAAUUGACGGGGGCCCGCACAAGCGGUGGAGCAUGUGGUUUAAUUCGAUGCAACGCGAAGAACCUUACCUGGUCUUGACAUCCACAGAACUUUCCAGAGAUGGAUUGGUGCCUUCGGGAACUGUGAGACAGGUGCUGCAUGGCUGUCGUCAGCUCGUGUUGUGAAAUGUUGGGUUAAGUCCCGCAACGAGCGCAACCCUUAUCCUUUGUUGCCAGCGGUCGGCCGGGAACUCAAAGGAGACUGCCAGUGAUAAACUGGAGGAAGGUGGGGAUGACGUCAAGUCAUCAUGGCCCUUACGACCAGGGCUACACACGUGCUACAAUGGCAUAUACAAAGAGAAGCGACCUCGCGAGAGCAAGCGGACCUCAUAAAGUAUGUCGUAGUCCGGAUUGGAGUCUGCAACUCGACUCCAUGAAGUCGGAAUCGCUAGUAAUCGUAGAUCAGAAUGCUACGGUGAAUACGUUCCCGGGCCUUGUACACACCGCCCGUCACACCAUGGGAGUGGGUUGCAAAAGAAGUAGGUAGCUUAACCUUCGGGAGGGCGCUUACCACUUUGUGAUUCAUGACUGGGGUGAAGUCGUAACAAGGUAACCGUAGGGGAACCUGCGGUUGGAUCACCUCCUUA